GACGAACGCUGGCGGCGUGCCUAAUACAUGCAAGUAGAACGCUGAAGGCGGAGCUUGCUUCUCUGGUUGAGUUGCGAACGGGUGAGUACCGCGUAGGUAACCUGCCUGGUAGUGGGGGAUAACUAUUGGAAACUAUAGCUAAUACCGCAUAAUAGCAGUUGUUGCAUGAUAACUUUUUGAAAGUUGCCAUUUCACCGUUACCAGAUGGCCCUGCGUUGUAUUAGCUAGUUGGUGGGGUAACGCCUCACCCAGGCGACGAUACAUAGCCGACCUGAGAGGGUGAUCGGCCACAGUGGGACUGAGACACGGCCCAGACUCCUACGGGAGGCAGCAGUAGGGAAUGUUCGGAAAUGGACGGAAGUCUGACCGAGCAACGCCGCGUGAGUGAAGAAGGUUGUCGGAUCGUAAAGCUCUGUUGUAAGAGAAGAACGAGUGUGAGAGUGGAAAGUUCACACUGUGACGGUAUCUGACCAGAAAGGGACGGCUAACUACGUG
rnacentral:rRNA from 1 species